UCAUGAGGUGGCCGAGGAAGAGGUGGUGAGCUGUAAACUCAUAAACAAGGUGUAGGCCUUUCUUAUGAG
rnacentral:tRNA from 1 species